rnacentral:ribozyme from 1 species
CACACACACACAAACAACAGAUAAAUAAAAAACAAAAAGUGACAAAAAGAAGCAAGGUCCCUAGUUGCCUGUCUUUUCGCUUUGCCCAUCAAUCAUCAAUUGGUUUUGUAUCCUGUCUUAAAUAUUUGAGGGUGUUCAGAAU